GGAAGCUUUGGAUCUAUUUUGCAUUCCAUAAGGAUUCCACCAUCAUAAUCUUUAAUAUACCCUUGCCAACGCUCUUUCUCUAAAUAAAUCUCUUUUGUGAAUCCCUGUUUGACAAAGUAACCAACAGCAUUGUUGUCAGCAUAUGUUAGAAAAUGAGUCAGCCCAUCCACAUCGCGUGCAUGCUGCUUCAAGUGAUUCAUCAAUCUGGUGCCAUAGCCCUUAACUUGUUCAUCUGCUGUAAUUGCACAAAAAGCUAUCUCCCCA
rnacentral:misc_RNA from 1 species